AGAGUUUGAUCCUGGCUCGGGACGAACGCUGGCGGCGUGCUUAACACAUGCAAGUCGAGCGGUAAGGCCCUUCGGGGUACACGAGCGGCGAACGGGUGAGUAACACGUGAGCAAUCUGCCCUUCUCUUUGGAAUAACCAUUGGAAACGAUGGCUAAUGCCGAAUAUGACCUCCUUUCGCAUGUUUGGAGGUGGAAAGCUCCGGCGGAGAUGGAUGAGCUCGCGGCCUAUCAGCUUGUUGGUGAGGUAAUGGCUCACCAAGGCAUUGACGGGUAGCCGGCCUGAGAGGGUGACCGGCCACACUGGGACUGAGACACGGCCCAGACUCCUACGGGAGGCAGCAGUGGGGAAUAUUGGACAAUGGGCGAAAGCCUGAUCCAGCAACGCCGCGUGAGGGAUGACGGCCUUCGGGUUGUAAACCUCUUUCAGCAGGGACGAAGCGAGAGUGACGGUACCUGCAGAAGAAGGACCGGCCAACUACGUG
rnacentral:rRNA from 1 species